rnacentral:rRNA from 1 species
UUGUUGGUGGGGUGAUGGCCUACCAAGGCGACGACGGGUAGCCGGCCUGAGAGGGCGUCCGGCCACACUGGGACUGAGAUACGGCCCAGACUCCUACGGGAGGCAGCAGUGGGGAAUAUUGCACAAUGGGCGCAAGCCUGAUGCAGCGACGCCGCGUGGGGGAUGACGGCCUUCGGGUUGUAAACCUCUUUCACCAUCGGCGAAGCCAGAUGCUUUUGUGUCUGGUGACGGUAGGUGGAGAAGAAGCACCGGCCAACUACGUGCCAGCAGCCGCGGUAAUACGUAGGGUGCGAGCGUUGUCCGGAAUUACUGGGCGUAAAGAGCUCGUAGGUGGUUUGUCGCGUUGUCCGUGAAAUUCCCUGGCUUAACUGGGGGCGUGCGGGCGAUACGGGCAGACUGGAGUACUGCAGGGGAGACUGGAAUUCCUGGUGUAGCGGUGGAAUGCGCAGAUAUCAGGAGGAACACCGGUGGCGAAGGCGGGUCUCUGGGCAGUAACUGACGCUGAGGAGCGAAAGCGUGGGGAGCGAACAGGAUUAGAUACCCUGGUAGUCCACGCCGUAAACGGUGGGUACUAGGUGUGGGUUUCCUUCCUUGGGAUCCGUGCCGUAGCUAACGCAUUAAGUACCCCGCCUGGGGAGUACGG